AUAUAUAAUAGUAGUAGUAUAGAGUUGUAUUAUAGUAUUGUGUAGUUAUAUUGACGCCGGAGCUGAGUCGCUUAUCCAUGAUAAAUUCAUGCUAAUUUUAUUUCAUUUGGUAGCUUAUAUGGUUACAUAGGAUUGGUGCUCUCUUGUUUUGAGUGUAGCCAAUUAUGAGCUACAUUUGUUUAUAAAUAGGUAGCCUUUACUUGUAAUAGAGAUUAGAUUUGCAAGAUAAAUAAUAUUUGAGUAAUUUUACUCUUUUUGGUUUUUUGUAUCCUGAAGGAUUUCAGGUGGUGAUCCAUCUCCCAAGGAGUUCUUGGAGUUAUCCGGCAUCGGCCACCGGAUCAUCGACGUGGAUUCGUCGAGCCUCCUCUGAUCCGGUAUCUUUUGGUAUCAGAGCCAAGAGCCAUGAUGCUGGCGAUCGACGAAGGAGGAAGUGUUUUAUUUCUUUUUAGCGGAGUCGGAACUGCACCAAGUGUCGGAAGGGAUGCUGGUUCGUGACAAGAAGCCAAGAAAGCAUCUGAUAGAGGUUGUCGGAGGCAAAGCAGCAGGCGUUCGCAUGGAAGAAAGGUCGAGUAGGCCAGAGGCGAGAUCGGGCCUGGUGCUUCUUGAUUGAAGAAAAGGUUCGUUUGGUCGCUGCAAAUGCCACGGAAGAAAGGCCGAGUAGGCCAGAGGCGAGAUCGGGCCUGAUGCUUCUUGAUUCAAGAAAAGGUUCGUUUGGUCGCUGCAAAUGCCACGGACACAGACGAGCACCGGACUCGCGUGAGGCAGAGUGUGCGGCAGUUGGAGGCGUGGAGCUUCCUAGUUUCCUUGUCCGUUGCCGAGUCGCCGGUGUCAUUUGUGAUGCCUAAGACCUCCUUCGUCGCCCCUAGUCUUCGCCGACGGUGAUCGGAUCUCUUUGUUCCGCCUCCGUCUACGACAGAACUUGCUUUCUCUCGAUCGCUACUGAUGUCAUUUCUCUAAAGCCGACUAAAAUUUGACCAAGCAAAUUAAAGAACCGUAGAACUACAGCUAGCUUUUGCCGAUUCAUCCUUCAUAGCCAUUAGCAUACACCCUGUUUUCAAAAAGCUUCGCGUCAAACCAAGAAAUCCACGUCCUCUCCUUUACUUUGCUCGCCGAAGACAAUUCUUGAAGACCAACUCAAAACAGCAAGCAUUCAAUCCUAGGCGGGUUCCAAGAAAACAAUUCCUGAGGCUAAGGGAUUUUUUGGGACAGUGAAUGCAUCAACAUUCUUGUCUCUCCGGCCAACCAAAUGUAUUUGCUAAGCUGUUUGUGAUCUACACCUUAACUAGCCAUAGAAAUUCCUGCUGUCUUUUUUCCUUAGCCUAUCUGCUAAAUUAUGUUCUGCAGACAACAGAAUUUUUGCAAGUCAAAAACGAUGCCACCCGUAAGAGGACCAUAGCCGGACCACAACAAGUUUCAAUUGGUGGUACUUUUAAAUUCUUAGCAAGUUUACAGCAAGCACAUUGUCAAGAAAAAUAGAGCAAGAUGCCUCCUCGACGAAUGUUGUAGCAAGCAGAAAUUGAAAAUCUUCAACAAGAAAUUGUUCAACUCCAGCAGCGACUAUCAAGGCUUAAAUGGAGGAAAGGCACUGAAUGCGUACGAACGGACGACGACGAGGGCAUUUCAGAUAAUCAAAUCUCUUCUACCCACAAAGAUGCGUUUGAAGGGCCACCUCGUCAGUCUUCCACCGCACCCUCGAUCAAGUUCAACUUUAAAGGAUUUGAAGAUUCAUUGCUGAAAUCGUCGUCUGUGCCUCUCUAUGAUGAGCCCGUGUAUGACGUGUAUGAUGACGACAUGAUUGGUGGAGUUCUUGAUCUUGAGCAACUUGCAUAUGAUGUUAAUGACGAUAGUAAGAGGGAAGGCCAGCAUAACAUCAAAGAUGGUUCUUUUCUAUCAUUUGAACUCGUCAACUCCACACCAUGGAGGACAUCAAAUGAAUCUAUUAAGUUUCCUCAACUGAAGAAAGAACCACUGAUGCUCUUAAACUUACAAUCAAAAUCACCAUCUAUUGUUCAUUCACUCCCAAAGUCAAACAUGGAGUUCCUAGACUUGUAAUUUCAUGAUCUUCCAGUGGACCGCUCUAAGAUCAGCAUUUCAUACUCAGAUGCGGCUCCGGCAGGUAGCAGUUCUGCAAAUAGCAUAUUGGGGAUAUGCUUACAAACGGGGGAGAUCAACAACAUUCUAGUAAAGGCAACUCAGAAGAUUGAUAAUUACAUGACUAGUGACCAGGUAAUCAAAACAACGACUUCACCCGUGCCCUUGCAUGCUAUUCUCAUGUGGGAAGUUAGCCAUGGUAGCUCAUCUUAUGAAUUCUCUGUCAAAGAUCCUGAAGAUGUUCUUAGUGCAUAGACAUGGGAAUAUCCAGAUCGAUUUAGCCAACCAAACCCACCUCCUUAUGGCGACCAACUGGACAUCUUCCUAUAAGCCUGAGUUCCUCCUACCUUGGUAGUAUGACGUUGGAGCUGAGCCGCUUAUCCAUGAUAACUUCAGGCUAGUUUUAUUUCAUUUGGUAACUUAUAUGGCUACAUACGAUUAGUGCUCUCUUGUUUUGAGUGUAGCCAAUUAUGGGCUACAUUUGUCUAUAAAUAGGUACCCUUUACUUGUAAUAGAGAUUAUAUUUGAAAGAUGAAUAAUAUUUGAGUAAUUUUACUCU